rnacentral:rRNA from 1 species
GAAGGUGUGCUGUGAGGCAUGCUGGAGGUAUCAGAAGUGCGAAUGCUGACAUAAGUAACGAUAAAGCGGGUGAAAAGCCCGCUCGCCGGAAGACCAAGGGUUCCUGUCCAACGUUAAUCGGGGCAGGGUGAGUCGACCCCUAAGGCGAGGCCGAAAGGCGUAGUCGAUGGGAAACAGGUUAAUAUUCCUGUACUUGGUGUUACUGCGAAGGGGGGACGGAGAAGGCUAUGUUGGCCGGGCGACGGUUGUCCCGGUUUAAGCGUGUAGGCUGGUUUUCCAGGCAAAUCCGGAAAAUCAAGGCUGAGGCGUGAUGACGAGGCACUACGGUGCUGAAGCAACAAAUGCCCUGCUUCCAGGAAAAGCCUCUAAGCAUCAGGUAACAUCAAAUCGUACCCCAAACCGACACAGGUGGUCAGGUAGAGAAUACCAAGGCGCUUGAGAGAACUCGGGUGAAGGAACUAGGCAAAAUGGUGCCGUAACUUCGGGAGAAGGCACGCUGAUAUGUAGGUGAAGCGACUUGCUCGUGGAGCUGAAAUCAGUCGAAGAUACCAGCUGGCUGCAACUGUUUAUUAAAAACACAGCACUGUGCAAACACGAAAGUGGACGUAUACGGUGUGACGCCUGCCCGGUGCCGGAAGGUUAAUUGAUGGGGUUAGCGCAAGCGAAGCUCUUGAUCGAAGCCCCGGUAAACGGCGGCCGUAACUAUAACGGUCCUAAGGUAGCGAAAUUCCUUGUCGGGUAAGUUCCGACCUGCACGAAUGGCGUAAUGAUGGCCAGGCUGUCUCCACCCGAGACUCAGUGAAAUUGAACUCGCUGUGAAGAUGCAGUGUACCCGCGGCAAGACGGAAAGACCCCGUGAACCUUUACUAUAGCUUGACACUGAACAUUGAGCCUUGAUGUGUAGGAUAGGUGGGAGGCUUUGAAGUGUGGACGCCAGUCUGCAUGGAGCCGACCUUGAAAUACCACCCUUUAAUGUUUGAUGUUCUAACGUUGACCCGUGAUCCGGGUUGCGGACAGUGUCUGGUGGGUAGUUUGACUGGGGCGGUCUCCUCCUAAAGAGUAACGGAGGAGCACGAAGGUUGGCUAAUCCUGGUCGGACAUCAGGAGGUUAGUGCAAUGGCAUAAGCCAGCUUGACUGCGAGCGUGACGGCGCGAGCAGGUGCGAAAGCAGGUCAUAGUGAUCCGGUGGUUCUGAAUGGAAGGGCCAUCGCUCAACGGAUAAAAGGUACUCCGGGGAUAACAGGCUGAUACCGCCCAAGAGUUCAUAUCGACGGCGGUGUUUGGCACCUCGAUGUCGGCUCAUCACAUCCUGGGGCUGAAGUAGGUCCCAAGGGUAUGGCUGUUCGCCAUUUAAAGUGGUACGCGAGCUGGGUUUAGAACGUCGUGAGACAGUUCGGUCCCUAUCUGCCGUGGGCGCUGGAGAACUGAGGGGGGCUGCUCCUAGUACGAGAGGACCGGAGUGGACGCAUCACUGGUGUUCGGGUUGUCAUGCCAAUGGCACUGCCCGGUAGCUAAAUGCGGAAGAGAUAAGUGCUGAAAGCAUCUAAGCACGAAACUUGCCCCGAGAUGAGUUCUCCCUGACUCCUUGA